UGCUUUAUUUUGUAUUCAAACAAUCUGCUCUAUUUUUAUUUUGUAUAUGGAAAGUAUUCAAAGAGGUGUGGUUCUGCCCAUAUUAAAGAGGUGUGGUUUUGUAUAUUGAAAGUAUUCAAAGAGGGCCCUUGAAGUUCUACAACAAAGAGAUUUUCCCUCUGCUGCUCUCCAGCCCUGUUCUUCUUCUUCCAUACCCUCGCUCCCAAAACUGCUGCUCUCCAGCUUUACAUUCCACCAAUCUGUUGCCUUGCUCAUCAGAAAUGUUGAGAAUUUUGUUACUCAUCAUAUGAGAAGCCACUUUCUUAUGAAAAAGCUUAGUAAUACUGUCACUUGAAGCAAGCCGCUGCACUCUUGAUCUCUGUCGUUUAAAAUUUCCUUUAGCAGUAGGCAAAUCAAUGUAAUUUGCCAAACCUUCUUUCUUAGCUAAAUGCAUCUCCUCAUCGAGAGGAUUGUUGUGACACCUUUGCUGCAACUUAUGAGGAGUAUCUUUUGCUUCUAGAACUUUGGUAGAGAUACCACUAUAGAAUAUCUGGUUCAAUUAUUUCAGAACGGGCUUCAAUCUUUUCAGUUUCAAAGACAGCUUCAACAUUGCAGAUCCUUAACUGCUAUUUCUGGAGAUUGUUUUCUUCGUAAUUAUAUAUCUGAUUUCAGCACUUGCUGAUAUGGAAAUUCUAUAUCUUUUUCUUUAUUUUUUGGUCUCUUGAGGAUGGGGGAGGCGAUACA